AGCAAACCACACCAGUCAUGAACCCACAGUGCUGCGUGCAUUGGGCCAGGAAUGAAAACAGCUACACCAUGGUAACCAUCCGUCAUUCUGUCCAUCUGCUGCCCUAGAGGGAUCUUAAAAUAGUUUCAAUUCACCUUUAAAAUCUGUGGCUCUAUGAAGGGCUUGUAACGCUUGGCAGCCCUGGAAGGCUGCCUGAGAAACAGGACUGCUAUUCGGACUACUGGGUCCAGCUGUAUGUCUCUUCGGAGGGAAACAAGCCAUCCAUUCAUCAGGCCCUUGUGAAAUUUUCCUUCCCUGCCAGCCCUGCAGCCAAGGAGGAGAAUACCUGGAGGAAUGGCUUCUGGAAUUCUGUUCUUUCUAACACGAGAGCUGCCAAAUUUAAUAGGAAGUUUAAUGAUAUUGCCAAAGGGUUAUGUCAUGGUCAGAAAUAGGAGUGCUAUUUUGUGGCAGCAGAAGCGGAGAUUCAGAUUCAACCAACACUGAUGGCAAAUAACUAUUAUGGGUUUGGAUUAUGCCCAUAGGGAAAUCUGGAUUUCUGGCUUCUCUCAAAGCAAGGCAAUGUUAUUCUGGAGCUGAGUAUGGCUGCCCCCUCAGAGAGGCCAGUUCUCUCUGUUUUGUCACAGACCCUAAAUGCUGGCCCACCAUUUUCACCUAAGCUGUUCUCCUAAUGGAGCCUGUUCUGCUGAGAGUGUCAGGAGGGCCUGGUACCCCUUUUAUCUUGGUACUUCCACAGCUCAGCACCUGGGGAAACACAGCACCCUCUGUACAUGUUCAUUGAGUGAAUGAGAGAAACCAACAGGAGGAAGAGGGUGUUGUCAGACCCGAAGAAGGCUUGGCUGUGCCUGGGAGUGCAGACACAGCCAAGUGGAGACAAAGGCAAUAUGUGAGUGAGCUUAAUAGAAAAUUCUCGAGAGACCCAUGAAUGCCAGGGCUAGCCUCACAUCUGGGAUUUUUCAGCUCCCACUGGAGUCUAUAAAUUCCAGUGUUUAGCUUUGUGGUUCAGUUGCCUUUUUGGAAUGAUAGUGCUGGCCAUGUCCUGUUUUUCUGCCCCGUCCUUUAAUUAAUAAAUACAUUUUGGCAAAGGGAA